GUUGAAGAACGCAGCGAAAUGCGAUAAGUAAUGUGAAUUGCAGAAUUCAGUGAAUCAUCGAAUCUUUGAACGCACAUUGCGCCCGCCAGUAUUCUGGCGGGCAUGCCUGUCUGAGCGUCAUUUCAACCCUCAUGCCCCUAGGGCGUGGUGUUGGGGAUCGGCCAAAGCCCGCGAGGGACGGCCGGCCCCUAAAUCUAGUGGCGGACCCGUCGUGGCCUCCUCUGCGAAGUAGUGAUAUUCCGCAUCGGAGAGCGACGAGCCCCUGCCGCUAAACCCCCAACUUUCCAAGGUUGACCUCAGAUCAGGUAGGAAUACCCGCUGAACUUAAGCAUAUCAAUAAGCGGAGGA
rnacentral:misc_RNA from 1 species